CCGUCAUCCAUCAGGUCCAUGAAGUCUGAGUGUCGUCUCCCACGCAUUGGCGCUGGCGUGCACGUAACUGAUUAUAGGUCCACGGAAUAUCUCACUCUCUGGGGAUGUAUAAAUAGAGGUACGGAUAAAGACCACAUGCAGUGAAGUUGUAUCAAGAUCUUUAAAUCUCAAACAAGAAAGAAGAAAAGAGACCUGAAAAAAGUUUGUUGUUGUGUGUUUUUAGCUGCGACUGAGAAAAACAAGCCAUGGAGAGAGUUUUAUUGCUGUUCUUUGCCGUUUGUCUUACAUGUGCUGUUGCAAACCCUAUACAUUGUGCCAAAAGGUGCAAAGCAAACUGGGAUGCCUGCAUGAGCCAAUGCCAAAUUGGAAAUUGCUAUGACUGCAGUCUUGAGUUUGUGAAAUGUCGAAACCGUUGUGGAGUUAAGAGAAACAACGUGAAAAGAUUGUUCAAAACUUUAAAACAAUCAAGUAACUGAGAAUAUAAACGAGCUGGGAUUCAAGCAGAACUAAAGACUUUAAUACUUAUGAAAACAAGAAAGAUUCAAAGCGUGUUUUUCUGUCGAUAAGAAGAGAUGCAAGACCAAGGAUACGAUAAUGUUUGUAUUUAAAAAAACGCAUCGUUUGCUGCCGAAAAAGUGAGACAGAACCUUUAACUGACAGUUAGGUUAUUGUUUUCAUUUUCAAAUACAUUCGAAUUAUUUAGCCUAACUAGUUAGCAACAGUUUUUUUGAGUUAUUGAUGGCUACAAUUCCCUAGCUAAACAAACAAAAAAUAACUUUUGUUAAUUUGCACUGAUUUGCAUCAUGAAAGACAGGCUUUUURAUAGUUCAUUCCUGUGUGCACAUUUAAGUUCAUUACUGAUCUAUUUAUUAUUGUAAAAUAGGCGAUAACUGUACUCUAUAUUUUUGAUAAACAAAUUGUAUAUCAUCAUAUAGUUGAAACGUAAUGAAAUAAAGAAUACUGCUGAAAUAA